GACGAACGCUGGCGGCGUGCUUAACACAUGCAAGUCGAACGGAAAGGCGCUGCUUUUGUGGGGUGCUCGAGUGGCGAACGGGUGAGUAACACGUGAGUAACCUGCCCUUGACUUUGGGAUAACUUCAGGAAAAUGGGGCUAAUACCGGAUAGGAGCUCCUGCUGCAUGGUGGGGGUUGGAAAGUUUCGGCGGUUGGGGAUGGACUCGCGGCUUAUCAGCUUGUUGGUGGGGUAGUGGCUUACCAAGGCUUUGACGGGUAGCCGGCCUGAGAGGGUGACCGGCCACAUUGGGCCUGAGGUACGGCCCAGACUCCUACGGGAGGCAGCAGUGGGGAAUAUUGCACAAUGGGCGGAAGCCUGAUGCAGCAGCGCCGCGUGCGGGAUGCCGGCCUUCGGGUUGUAAACCGCUUUCGCCUGUGACGAAGCGUGAGUGACGGUAAUGAGUAAAGAAGCACCGGCUAACUACGUG
rnacentral:rRNA from 1 species